AAAAGCUAAAGAUUUCUUUCAAAAUCAAGAGAACAAUAGAGUAGAAAGAAUAGAUUUCAUUCAAAAGCUUUAAUCCACUUGGCUAUCUCGACUUUCAAAAGUAUGCUUGUUUGCUAUGUGCAUUUUCAUCCAUACCAGAAUAGAUUAUUUACAGGAAGGGACAAAUUCAUGACAGAAAUUUGAAUAUAUGAACUAGGGUACCUAUUGAGCCCAAUCCGGAAGAUUCUAUAGAGAUCAACUGAUAGACCUCUACUGCAUAUUACUUUGGAGGAGAAAUUAACUUAUUUUCUUCCAAAUCGUGCUUCAUGGAAGCAUCUCCACCCAUCAAUUCCUUUUCUACUUGUCUUGUUACCUACGCACCUACCGACCUAUCAAAUUGUUUCUUGAUUGACCAAUGGUGAUGAAGUGAGACAAAAUAUCUUGCGUUCCAAAAAAAAGUAAAAUAAAAAGGAAAAGGAACAAUCUGAGAUGGUCAUAGAAUUUGUCUGAUUGGUGCUGCUUUUGAUAUAUUUACCAUGAUGGAAUCAAAUACUUGUCUUCCAGAUGUGAGAACCUACAAUGAGUUAAUAUCUGGAUAUUGUGAGGUAAAACAAGUUUACAAGGCAAUGACACUUCUUAGUAAGAUGCUAGAGCAGAAGAUGUCUCCAAAUCUUGUAACUUUCCUUAUUAGUAUGUGGACAAUGUAAAGAGGGUGAUAUAGAUAGCGCUUUUAGGCUGCUUAGGUUGAUGGAAGAGCAAAAUGUAGUUCCUGACCAGUUAACUUAUGGUGCUCUCAUUGAUGCAUUAUGUGAAAGAGGGACGGUUGAGAAGGCUUAUCAUGUAUACGACUCUCUCAAGGAGAAUGGUUUAAAUUCAAAUGUAGUUAUAUACACUACUCUGAUUGAUGGAUUCUGCAAGGCUGGGAAGAUUGAUUUUUCCCUAACUUUGUUUGGAAGAAUGACAGGUGAGGGCUUCCAUCCGAACUCAUACACUUACAAUGUGCCGAUUAGUGGGCUGUGCAAAGAGAAAAAACUGCCUGAAGCAGCAGAAUUUCUGGAAAGAAUGCUGGAAGAAGGUGUGAAACCUACAGUUGUUACUUACACUAUUCUCAUUGAGCAAAUGUUAAAAGAAUAUGACUUUGAUCAUGCUUAUAAGGUGUUUCAUCAGAUGGUUUCCCUGGGAAAUAAACCUGAUGUUUGCACAAACACUUCAUUUCUUGUUGCAUAUUGCAACCAAGGGAAGUUGAAAGAAGCAGAGGAUUUGAUGGCUAAAAUGAAAGAAGAAGGGGUGCAACCAGAUUUCAAGGCUUACACAGUAUUAAUUGAUGGAAAUGGACGUUCAGGUUUACUAGAUCGUGCUUUUGAUAUGCCCAAAUGUAUGGUUGAUGCUAGAUGUGAACCAACUCAUUAUAUCUACUCUGUUUUAAUCAAACACCUCUUACAUGAGAAACGAACGAACGGAAGUGGUUGUAGAACGGAACUUGAUCCAAAAACAGAAGAAAACUCAAUUAAUAUAGCAGAUGUCUGGAAAAUAAUGGAAUAUGAUACAGCUCUUAUGCUCUUCAAGAAAAUGGUUGGAAAUGGCUGCUCACCAAAUGUUAACACUUACAAUGCACUCACCACUGGACUUUGUCGAGAAGGACGCUUUGAAGAAGCCUGGAAGUUGGUUGAUCAUAUGAAACAAUGUUGAAUGUCGCCCAGUGAAGAUAUGUAUAAUGCACUGGUGAAUUGUUGCUCUAAGUUGAAAAUGUAUGAGGAAGCAAUGAAGAUACUUGAUACCAUGCUCAAGCUUGGACUUCUACCACAUAUAGAAUCCUAUAAGCUGCUUGUUUGUGGAUUGUAUGAUGAAGGGAAUGAUGAGAUGGCUAAGUCUGCAUUCUGUAUGCUUAUCCAAUGUGGUUACAAUUAUGAUGAAGUUGCUUGGAAGCUUCUGAUUGUCCUGUUGUUGAAAAGGGUCUUGUUGAUAGAUGCUCUGAGCUGUUAAAUGUCAUGGAGAAACUUGGUUGCCAGCUUAAUCUACAGACUUAUACUAUGUUAAUUCAGGGUUUUCUUGAUAAAAACGAGGGCAUAUAGGAUAUAAGAUCCUUCACAUGAUUGGUCUGCGCGUUGCCAAAAGUUAUUUUCAUAAGCAUUUUUCUUAUUUUACGAGGCAAACGAUGGGCGAAUUUAUGAUGAGAAACAUGGAAUUCUUUUUUGGACUUUACCUUGAUCCAGUAAUUACCUCAUGUCAUCCUAAAUUUCACAAUUGUGACAAAAGGCCAAAUCACUUCUCAUGGAAGUUUUCUAGGACAUCUAGUGUAUCAAAAGAGAUUUUACAGGACAAAGUUCUGCAUUUGCCCUGGUGGCUCCCAGGUCAACAGUGCUCGCAUAGCAGAUUCUCUACAUUACAGGAACGACAUAGUGGGUGAAGUAACUGAGGUUGGCAGCAAGGUGAAGAAUGUCAAGUUUGGGGACAAAGUAGGAGUUGGAUGUAUGGUUGGAUCAUGUCGCCAGUGUGAUAAAUGCAGCAAUGAUCUUGAAAAUUACUGUUCUAAAAUGAUACCUACCUAUAGCGCUGUUUACACUGAUGGUACCAUUACAUGUGGAGGUUAAUGGUUGCUGAUGAGCACUUCAUUGUUCGUUGGCCUGAGAACUUUCCCCUUGACGUUGGUGCUCCUCUUUUAUGUGCUGGGAUUACAACUUACAGCCCCUAGAGGUACUUUGGACUGGACAAGCCGGGAAUGAA